rnacentral:sRNA from 1 species
UAAUAUAGCCUCAAUCUGGACUAACGUG